UACGUAGGGUGCAAGCGUUUAAUCGGAAUUACUGGGCGUAAAGCGUGCGCAGGCGGUUUUGUAAGUCUGUCGUGAAAUCCCCGGGCUCAACCUGGGAAUUGCGAUGGAGACUGCAAGGCUAGAAUCUGGCAGAGGGGGGGUAGAAUUCCACGUGUAGCAGUGAAAUGCGUAGAGUAUGUGGAGGAACACCGAUGGCGAAGGCAGCCCCCCUGGGUCAAAGCUGACGCUCAUGCACGAAAGCGUGGGG
rnacentral:rRNA from 1 species